rnacentral:rRNA from 1 species
GACGAACGCUGGCGGCGUGCUUAACACAUGCAAGUCGAACGAAGUGGCGAACGGGUGAGUAACGCGUAAUCAACCUGCCCUUCAGAGGGGGACAACAGUUGGAAACGACUGCUAAUACCGCAUACUGAAGGAGGGGAUUGCGUCUGCUUAGCUAGUUGGAGGGGUCACGGCCCACACAGGCGAUGAUCAGUCGCCGGUCUGAGAGGAUGAACGGCCAAAUGGGGACUGAGACACGGCCCAGACUCCUACGGGAGGCAGCAGUGGGGACGCUUCCGCAAUGGACGAAAGUCUGACGGAGCAACGCCGCGUGAGUGAUGACGGCCUUCGGGUUGUAAAGCUCUGUUAAUCGGGACGCGGUACCGGAAUAGAAAGCCACGGCUAACUACGUGCCAGCAGCCGCGGUAAUUC